AACGAACGCUGGCGGCAGGCCUAACACAUGCAAGUCGAACGCCCGUAGCAAUACGGGAGUGGCAGACGGGUGAGUAACGCGUGGGAACGUGCCCUUGGUUCGGAAUAACUCAGGGAAACUUGAGCUAAUACCGGAUACGUCCGUAAGGAGAAAGAUUUAUCGCCGAAGGAUCCGGCCCGCGUCGGAUUAGCUAGUUGGUGAGGUAACGCCCACAGGCGACGAUCCGUAGCUGGUCUGAGAGGANGAUCAGCCACACUGGGACUGAGACACGGCCCAGA
rnacentral:rRNA from 1 species